rnacentral:rRNA from 1 species
AUUGAACGCUGGCGGCAUGCUUUACACAUGCAAGUCGAACGGUAACAGGUUAAGCUGACGAGUGGCGAACGGGUGAGUAAUGCAUCGGAACGUGCCCGAUCGUGGGGGAUAACGCAGCGAAAGCUGCGCUAAUACCGCAUACGAUCUGAGGAUGAAAGCGGGGGAACGUAAGGCCUCGCGCGAUCGGAGCGGCCGAUGUCAGAUUAGGUAGUUGGUGGGGUAAAGGCCCACCAAGCCGACGAUCUGUGGCUGGUCUGAGAGGACGACCAGCCACACUGGGACUGAGACACGGCCCAGACUCCUACGGGAGGCAGCAGUGGGGAAUUUUGGACAAUGGGCGAAAGCCUGAUCCAGCAAUGCCGCGUGCAGGAAGAAGGCCUUCGGGUUGUAAACUGCUUUUGUACGGAGCGAAAAGGUCCUUUCUAAUACAAGGGGCUCAUGACGGUACCGUAAGAAUAAGCACCGGCUAACUACGUGCCAGCAGCCGCCGUAA